AUUGAACGCUGGCGGCAUGCCUUACACAUGCAAGUCGAACGGUAACAGGUUAAGCUGACGAGUGGCGGACGGGUGAGUAAUGUAUCGGAACGUGCCCAGUCGUGGGGGAUAACUACUCGAAAGAGUGGCUAAUACCGCAUACGACCUGAGGGUGAAAGCGGGGGACCGUAAGGCCGCGCGCGAUUGGAGCGGCCGAUAUCAGAUUAGCUAGUUGGUGGGGUAAAAGCCCACCAAGGCGACGAUCUGUAGCUGGUCUGAGAGGACGACCAGCCACACUGGGACUGAGACACGGCCCAGACUCCUACGGGAGGCAGCAGUGGGGAAUUUUGGACAAUGGACGCAAGUCUGAUCCAGCCAUGCCGCGUGCGGGAAGAAGGCCUUCGGGUUGUAAACUGCUUUUGUACAGAACGAAAAGGCCCUGGUUAAUACCUGGGGCUCAUGACGGUACUGUAAGAAUAAGCACCGGCUAACUACGUGCCAGCCGCCGCCGUAAAAC
rnacentral:rRNA from 1 species